GGGAGGAUGAACUGGCUGUUCCCCCUGUCCAAGGGCGGCGGCUCCUCCUCGUCCCCCGCGGCCCCGCUCCCCGCCCUCACCAGCCUCCAGCAGCAGAAGCAGCGGCAGAUCGAGUCCCUGCGCAGCGCCCAUUCCGCCAUUGCCGAAAUACAGAAAGAUGUGGAAUAUAGGUUGCCAUUCACCAUAAACAACUUGACAAUUAAUAUUAACAUCUUGCUUCCUCCUCAGUUUCCUCAGGAAAAACCGGUGAUCAGUGUUUUCCCACCAGUAAGACAUCACUUAAUGGAUAAACAAGGAGUGUAUGUGGCAUGUCCAUUAAUAAGCAAUUUCACAAUGCACUCUGACCUUGGAAAAAUUAUUCAGAGUUUACUGGAUGAGUUUUGGAAGAAUCCUCCAGUUUUGGCUCCUAACUCAACAUCAUUUCCAUAUCUUUACAGUAAACCAGGUGGAAUGCCUCCUUAUACUCCUCAGGGUUUUCCGUUUCUUCCUCCAUACCCACCACAAGAAACAAAUAGAUCUAUAGCUUCUGUGCCAGUUGCUGAAUCAGGUUACACUACAGACAAACCCGCUGCUCCAUCCUAUGGCUUGAUCACAGACCUGCCAUUACCUGUUCCAACAACAGAAGCACUAUUACAGGUGGGCCAGAAUGGCUUCAGUUACAAGAUGCCUGAUGUUCCUGAUGCAUUUCCAGAGCUCUCAGAAUUAAGUAUACCACAGUUGACAGAUAUGAAUGAGCAAGAGGAUAUUUUGCUGAAACAGUUUGUGAAUCUGCCACAGCUGAAGCAAAUCAUAGUGGAUAAAGAUCACUUAGUGAAAAGCAUUGAAGAGUUAGCAAAAAAAAAUUUACUGUUGGAACCCAGUCUAGAGGCGAAAAGGCAAACAGUGCUCGAUAAAUAUGAACAUCUUACUCAGAUGAAAGCCACCUUUGAAAAGAAGAUGCAAAGGCAGCAUGAGCUUAGUGAGAGUUGCAGUCCCAGUGCUUUGCAGGCCAGACUGAAAGUAGCUGCUCAUGAAGCCGAAGAGGAGUCUGACACUAUUGCAGAAGAUUUCUUGGAAGGAAAAAUGGAAAUUGAUGACUUUCUUAGUAACUUCAUGGAAAAGAGAACAGUAUGUAAUAUACUCUUGAGCUAAAAUGAAUUGUACAAGUGGUGUGUAUGAAACCAGUACUUGAGUUAUCACUUUUAAGAGUGGAGCAAUUCUGUGAUUCAGAAUGCUGGAUUCUGUGACCUGCUGCACACUUCUUAAAGUCUUAACUAAUUUAUUCUGAUUCUUCCAAGAUGGCAACAUAUCUUAUUAUACGGCUUGUCCGUAACAUUAGAAAUGGUUUGUAGUCUUGUAAAUUCAUUCUCACGUACUUUUAGGUUAUUUUUGUAUGUGCCUUCUAUAUACUCCUCUUUAUUAUGCCCAGUUCCCCUAAUCUUAGAAGGUGCUUUGUUUCAGAGACUUGCAUCUCUUGUGAUUUUGCCACACUCACAUAGCAGUGACCCCGUAACUUUCUUUGCUCUAUGUAUAUUUUUUUGUGUGCUAAACUGUAAAAGGGAGAGUGUGCACUGAUUUUUUUGUCAGUGAGACAUAAUAUUGUUACAAGGUGGACAAAAAACGCGUAUGAGUGCUGAAAUGUAAUCUUCCAUCCCAUUUUUUGAGCAAGAGCAAUGAGAUGUAUCUUUGAGUGUACGUUUUGAGUGAGUCAGGUAAUACUUAGUCCUGACUCAGUGUAGGGGACUGGACUAGUUUAUUUAGCUCCCUUCCAGUACUACAUUUCUGUGAUUUCUCCCACAUAUAGUAUUGUCCUUCCAUUUUUGCAGAGAAAUAAGGAAGAAAACCAGUUGGGCAGUUUUAAGAGGGGGAAGGAAGAGACUGGAUCUGUAGAAUUCUGCUAUGUUAAGAGUCUCAACCUCAUCACUUUUAAAUUUCCUUAACCCUUUAAGGAUGAAAUAAUAGAGAAUAAUUAAAAUUGAUAGUCUUAAAAUAUGGUUCAUGAUCACUGCACAUGCUCUUCGUCUCUGUCCUUGUUUCCUAUAGAUAAAUCAUAGUAAACUUAUCUAAUGAAACUGUAAAUCUUUUCCUAAUUACUUUUCUACAUAAGCAACUGCUUCAGGAGUGUUCUUGCAAAUAUGCGUGAAUUUUAGUGGAAUUGCUGGUAGGGAAGUGGUUCCCAGGUCAGUCUCUCUUUUAAGAUUCCAUGAAAUAGGCAACUUUUGAACUAAAAAAGAAAUAGGGAUUGGGUGUGUAGAAUACAAAAAUGAAACAAAGCCGGUUAUUCUUUUCAGAGCUAACUGGUCCACUUUGUUUGUGUUUUAGAUUUGCCACUGUAGAAGAGCCAAAGAGGAGAAACUUCAACAGGCAAUAACAAUGCACAGCCAAUUUCAUGCUCCAUUAUAG